UGCAGUCGAGCGGUAGCACAAGGGAGCUUGCUCUCUGGGUGACGAGCGGCGGACGGGUGAGUAAUGUCUGGGAAACUGCCUGAUGGAGGGGGAUAACUACUGGAAACGGUAGCUAAUACCGCAUAACGUCGCAAGACCAAAGAGGGGGACCUUCGGGCCUCUUGCCAUCAGAUGUGCCCAGAUGGGAUUAGCUAGUAGGUGGGGUAAUGGCUCACCUAGGCGACGAUCCCUAGCUGGUCUGAGAGGAUGACCAGCCACACUGGAACUGAGACACGGUCCAGACUCCUACGGGAGGCAGCAGUGGGGAAUAUUGCACAAUGGGCGCAAGCCUGAUGCAGCCAUGCCGCGUGUGUGAAGAAGGCCUUCGGGUUGUAAAGCACUUUCAGCGAGGAGGAAGGUGGUGAACUUAAUACGUUCAUCAAUUGACGUUACUCGCAGA
rnacentral:rRNA from 1 species